rnacentral:rRNA from 1 species
ACGAACGCUGGCGGCGUGCUUAACACAUGCAAGUCGAACGGAAAGGCCCUGCUUUUGUGGGGUGCUCGAGUGGCGAACGGGUGAGUAACACGUGAGUAACCUGCCCUUGACUUUGGGAUAACUUCAGGAAACUGGGGCUAAUACCGGAUAGGAGCUCCUGCUGCAUGGUGGGGGUUGAAAAGUUUCGGCGGUUGGGGUUGGACUCGCGGCUUAUCAGCUUGUUGGUGGGGUAGUGGCUUACCAAGGCUUUGACGGGUAGCCGGCCUGAGAGGGUGACCGGCCACAUUGGGACUGAGAUACGGCCCAGACUCCUACGGGAGGCAGCAGUGGGGAAUAUUGCACAAUGGGCGGAAGCCUGAUGCAGCAACGCCGCGUGCGGGAUGACGGCCUUCGGGUUGUAAACCGCUUUCGCCUGUGACGAAGCGUGAGUGACGGUAAUGGGUAAAGAAGCACCGGCUAACUACGUG